rnacentral:tRNA from 1 species
GGUAGUGUGGCCGAGCGGUCUAAGGCGCUGGUUUUAGGCACCAGUCAUUUCGGUGGCGUGGGUUCAAAUCCCACCUCUGCCA